rnacentral:lncRNA from 1 species
GUUUCUUUAAAAGAUUAGCACAGAUGGCACAGUUAAGUUUUUCCUUAGUGUCAUUUCCAAAGUAAAUCUGUUACAGAGGUCGUUCUAUGAUUUUUGAAGCAAAGUUCAAGAUUGGAUUAUUAAGAUGUGCCAUUGUGAAACACUGGUCUUUUUCUCCUUUCUGUAGUUAACCAUAAAAUUCUGUCUGCUGAAAUGACACUAGAUAUUAACACGUCAUUGGAGGAGGGGAGGUGGACCGGUGACCCAGGCCUUCCCACGUUCACAGUCUCUUUUCCACCGACUCAAGUGACAGCCACCACCCCAAAGGGACCCUGUUUUGGGUCAGGUUAAGAAGUCUACCUUUUAUGAAUUUGUAGGUAAGACUAGAGUUUUUGUGUUGCAAAAAAAUCGCAUACAUUGUAUGUGAGUCAAAUUUUGUAUGGAAUAGUCUCUCAAAUUGUAUC